rnacentral:rRNA from 1 species
UCGGGAAUUUUGCUCAAUGGGCGCAAGCCUGAAGCAGCAACGCCGCGUGAGGGAUGAAGGCCUUCGGGUUGUAAACCUCUUUUUUCAGGGACGAUGAUGACGGUACCUGGAGAAUAAGCCACGGCUAACUACGUGCCAGCAGCCGCGGUAAUACGUAGGUGGCAAGCGUUGUCCGGAUUUACUGGGCGUAAAGAGCGCGCAGGCGGUCGAAUCAGUCGAAUGUGAAAGCCCCCGGCUUAACUGGGGAGGGUCAUUCGAUACUGCUCGACUCGAAGGCAGGAGAGGGAAGUGGAAUUCCCGGUGUAGUGGUGAAAUGCGUAGAUAUCGGGAGGAACACCAGUGGCGAAGGCGACUUUCUGGCCUGUUCUUGACGCUGAGGCGCGAAAGCUAGGGGAGCAAACGGGAUUAGAUACCCCCGUAGUCC